ACCAAGCAGCUAGCUUACCUUAAUACCUAACACAUAAAUAUUCAUAGUCUUACAAGCCCUUCACUCUCAAAACUAAACCAUUUUACCCCCUAAGUAUAGGCGAUAGAAAAGGAAUGUUCACCCAACAACUAAAGCAAUAGAAAAAGUACCGCAAGGGAAAGCUGAAAGAGCAAUGAAACAACUCAGUAAAGUUUAAAAAAGCAGAGGCUAACCCUCGUACCUUUUGCAUCAUGUUUUAACAAGGAUACCUUAAGCAAAAAGAUUUCUAGUUUAAAACCCCGAAGUUAAGUGAGCUACUCCAAGACAGCCCAUAAAGGGGCAAACACGUCUCUGUAGCAAAAGAGUGUGAAGAUCUUUGAGUAGAGGCGAUAAACCUACCGAACUUAAUUAUAGCUGGUUGCCUAAAAAACGAAUAGAAGUUCGGCCUUUAUUCUUCUUACAAUUAAGUACGUUAAUACCCUUAAACAAAAGCCCUAGAAAAAUAAAGAGUUAUUUAUAAGAGGUACAGCUCUUAUAAACUAAGAAACAGCUUUACAGGAAGGAUAAAGACCACCCCGCAACCCUAAGGUGAAUGUCCCAGUGGGCCUAAGAGCAGCCACCCCCUAAAAAGCGUUAAAGCUUAAACACCUAACCCCCCCCAAAAUACCGGCACACAAUCUUACUCCUCCGCUUUUAUUAGGCUAUUCCACAUCGUAUGGAAGAAAUAAUGUUAAUAUGAGUAAUAAGAGGGCAACCUCUCCCCCCACAAGUGUACCUCGGAGCGGAAACCCCGCCGAAAAUUAAACGUACCCAAUUAAAGAGGGUACUGAAGCAAAAUUAGACAACUAGAAAAACCUUCAAAUUUAACCGUUAACCCGACACUGGAGUGCAUUAAGGAAAGACUAAAAGAUAGGGAAGGAACUCGGCAAACAUAACCCCAAGCCCCGCCUGUUUACCAAAAACAUCGCCUCUUGCACCUCAGUAUAAGAGGUCCCGCCUGCCCUGUGACUAACGUUUAACGGCCGCGGUAUUUUGACCGUGCAAAGGUAGCGCAAUCAAUUGUUUUUUAAAUGAAGACCAGUAUGAAUGGCGCAACGAGGGCUUAACUGUCUCCCUUUUCUGGUCCAUGAAAUUGAUCUCCCCGUGCAGAAGCGGGGAUAAUAACAUAAGACGAGAAGACCCUUUGGAGCUUAAAACGCAAGGGUAGCUUGAAUUAAUUAGACCGACUUUAAUAAGGCUAACCCGAUUCCACCUCUACCCUAGUGUUUUUGGUUGGGGCGACCACGGGAUAAAAGGAACCUCCCGCGCAGAAUGGAUAUACACAUAUAUCUCUAUCUAAGGGCGACAGCCCUAAGACCCAGAACUUUUGACUAUCAGAUCCGGCUCAGCCGACCAACGAACCAAGUUACCCCAGGGAUAACAGCGCAAUCCUCUUUCAGUGCCCAUAUCGACAAGGGGGUUUACGACCUCGAUGUUGGACCAGGACAUCCUAAUGGUGCAGCAGCUAUUAAGGGUUCGUUUGUUCAACGAUUAAAGUCCUACGUGAUCUGAGUUCAGACCGGAGCAAUCCAGGUCAGUUUCUAUCUAUGAAAUGUUUUUCUCUAGUACGAAAGGACCAAGGAAAAAAGGCCUAUAUUCUAAACAAGCCCUCCCCCCACUCGAUGAAAACAACUAAACUGAAUAAGGGGGCAUAAGCCUAACCAAGCACAGAUUAUGCUAC
rnacentral:rRNA from 1 species